GUAGAUGUGAAUGAGGCCAAUGUGUAAGCAGGACACAGAGAGAAGGCUGAAGGUGAGAUGGCAUAGGCUUGCAGGCCCCUUGCGAGCCAGGGUCAUUCAAGGACUGCAGUGAGAGUUAGGAAAGCCAGGCAAACCUGAGCAAGGAGGAGAAAACGUUCUCCUCCCCUUAUCUCAUGUUGCAAGUCCGGAAUGCCUGGAUCUGCAAGAAGCGGCUCUUGCCUAGAUUAGAGGCGUUCCUUCUUAGGACAAGAACAUACUGUCUCCAGAGGGAGGGUGGCUGGGAGAAUUCUUUAAUUCAGCGAGCAUACAUUCUGUUCUUGAUAAAUCUUGUGUAUCUUUCUUCAAGGAUGUUAGUUUAAUCCCAUUAUGUGUGAAAGUACAUAUUGUUAUGCUUACCUGAUUGCUGCAAGUAUAUAGCUGUGUGGAAAAUAAACGACAGCAUGCAGUUGCAAGUGCUGCCUUUGCUCUGCAUCCCCUGUGUCCCGGUGAUUUCGCGGCCCUUACCCAGGGACCCCAACGCACUAGACGUUGACAAUUGGCGCCCGAACAGGGACCCUGAAGGACGUUCAGGAAGGAGGAUGGACGGACCUGUUCCUGGCUCCCCGCGAGAUGGAUCCGGUCGAGGACCAAUUCGAACGGCACCGUAUCCCGCCAUCUUACAGGAUGCCACCGCGGAGCCGAUGGAAUGAGUCAAUGAGUCUUGAAAGAUGGAGUUACAUGAAAUGGAAUAUUAAACUGUUGUUAGACCUAAAAGGGGCGUCACAAACCAUAGUGGACGUUGCAGCCACUAAAGGACAUACACUCAACCAUAAGCAAGUCCUUGCCAGCAGACUCCAGCCUGUUCAUUUUCCAUCUUCCUCCAUGCAGCCAUGUGCUCCAGAGAAAGGGGCUCAUUCCCAGAAUGAGAGUGGGAGAGAGCCUGCCAAGCAUUUCUCAUGCCAGUGAUUGGUCUAGGCAUGGACCUGUGAUAUAAUUUUGGCCACUGAGACACCAGAGGAAUUUUCUAAGUUUUUUGGAAAAGUUUCCCACAUUGAUUAAAAAAAAAAAAAAAAAAAACUGUGGGAAGAAAUACUCCCUCUUUUUCCACUGAAGUCUGAUGCAUCAGCAUGUGACACCUGGCACUGUGGCAACCAUACUGGGAUCCUGAGGAUGAUAUCACUGACAGGCUGAGAACAACAGAGUGGGAAUGUGGACAGAGACAUAAACCAUCAUUAUAAGGCUGGAUUCACCAAACCUACAGCCACCUAACCUCAGGUGACAAGCCUGGAAGAUUGCCCUCUGAGGCUCCAGAACCCCUGGCAGGCUGAGGAUACCUGCCAAGUGAAACUUCAUGCCAAUUAAAACCCUCCACUUACACAUAGGUAUAGACUCAGCAAUUUAAUGCCCCAAUGUGCAGUUUGUAUAUACUUUUGCAACUGACUCAGGACCAAAGUUCUAGGUUAAAGAGAUGAAGCUCUGACUAAAUGUUUAAUCCCCUGAGUAUCCAAGAGGGAACAGAAGUCAGAUGGGUGGAACAUCACAGCUGGGAGUUUCUACAUAGAGCCUUAGAAAAUGAUCUAGUCAGUGAUCUGCUCCUCAGCUCACCCAUAGGGAAAUAGAUCCCACAGGGAGUCUGUGAUGGAGCUGGGGCUGAGCCCAGAGUACAGGACCUCAGCCACUGCUCCUACCCUCACACUGGUUCUAGAGGAAGAGACUUUGAGGUCAGGGACCUGGCAGUGGAUCAAGGCCUGGCUCUGCAACUUAUGCAGCGGGGUGUGUCAGACCCUCCCCUGUGAAUACCUGCCUCUCACAGCUAUCACAAGGAUUGCAGGAGAUCAUAUGUUGUAGAAAGGCUGCCAGUGCUCCCCUAUCUCCUUUCCUCUUCCUGGGGACAGGAAGGCCAAACUUCCCAGGCUUCCUGGAGUCUGGUUGGGCCAGUGGCAGCUGGGCACAAGUGGGUACUGCACCUGCAGGCCUGGCCCACCCAUCUGAGCCACUCUCCCAACUUUCUCCCCUGACUGUUGGUGCACAGGAUACAGGGCUCCCAGGGGGAGGAUGCUGAGGAGGCCCUGGAAGACCGCAAUACUAACAAGUAGGAGCUUGGACUCAUCAGUCAUCAAGUGAAAGGCCGUCUACUGAAUCCCUGCUUAGGCUUUAAUGUGAGCAAGAAAUAAACAUCUAUUAUGUUAGGCUUUGGGUUGCUUGUUACAACAGCUAGCAUUAAUAAUCCUGACUAAUAACAAAUGUCAUAUAAAACAUAAUAACAAUAACAGAUGCUCAA
rnacentral:lncRNA from 1 species